UACCAAAACAAAGGUAGUGCUGAUGCUUCU
rnacentral:piRNA from 1 species